GAGGGGGAGAGGGAGAGAGGAGGGUGAGGGGAGAAAGGGGGGGAGUGAGAGGGUCCAAAGAUUGGUAAAAAGCCACAAUUCUGGCAAGUGACCUUGCUUCCUUGAAGCCUCUUCCCUGCAGCAAACAAACCUUCCCCUCCCCAACCCUAUUGGAAUGGGCUGCAUUUUGCUGGCACCAGCCUCUUGUUGGACCUCCGGGCAAAGUCCCCUCCAGAUGCCAGCACCAAUCCCAUGCCCUGCAUUAGGCCAGAAAGGACAUGAACAGAGCUUGUCGUGGUAGUAACCCCUCAUC